AAGGCUACUUACAACCAUCGCGAACUCGUCCAAGUUGCUUCGGCGGCGCGGGGCCCCUCACGGGGCGCCGCAGCCCGGCCUCUCCAGAGGCGCGGGGCAACCGCCGGAGGUACAAAACCCUUCUAUAUUAUAGUGGAACUCUGAUUCAACAAACAAAUAAGUUAAAACUUUCAACAACGGAUCUCUUGGUUCUGGCAUCGAUGAAGAACGCAGCGAAAUGCGAUAAGUAAUGUGAAUUGCAGAAUUCAGUGAAUCAUCGAAUCUUUGAACGCACAUUGCGCCCGCUAGUACUCUAGCGGGCAUGCCUGUUCGAGCGUCAUUUCAACCCUCAAGCCCUGCUUGGUGUUGGGGCCCUACGGCUGCCGUAGGCCCUGAAAAGAAGUGGCGGGCUCGCUACAACUCCGAGCGUAGUAAUCUUUUAUCUCGCUAGGGAAGUGUGGCGUGCUCCUGCCGUUAAAGACCCCAUCUUUAACCAAGGUUGACCUCGGAUCAGGUAGGAAUACCCGCUGAACUUAAGCAUAUCAAUAAGCGGAGGAA
rnacentral:rRNA from 1 species